GGGAGGGGGGUGGGGGUGGUACUGUGCAUUCUGAGCACGAUAGAAAGAUCUAAUCUAGGUGAGGAAUUUCCUGUCGGUUUUUUUUUUGUGGUCCUUGUGCAGGUAUGUCUGCUUGUGUGCCAAUGUGUGUUAUGCAAAUGAAGAAAAACUAAACAAAAUGUGCGAUUGCUUUGCACACCCUGUUGCUUUUUUUGUUUGCACCUUAGCCAAGUGCCGGGGAUUUCUGAGAAUCCGAAAUUAGCCACGUCGAGGCAUGGGAGGUGCAAUGGUAGCAGGUUUAUAUUUAUCUCAGAUGAGAAUGCGCAUGAUACAAAGUUAAAUUUAUGCCCGUGUAGUGACUCUGUAACUUCUUUCCAGCCUAGGCCAGGGGCUGUCAAACUCAGCCCUGGAAGACGUUCUGUGCUUGCUGCGUCUCUUCAGUUAAGGUUGCACGUCCAGAAAAUGAAAAUAACGUCUGACAAGCUAUGCCUGCAAAUGGGUAAAUAUUGAUAUUCUGUAAUGAUGCCAUGCUUCAGACAAUCAGGGACUACUUGAAAAGCAGAAAAUUAAUCAAAUGUGUGUGUGUGCGUGCGUUCGCACGUGCAUGUGCCUAAUAUGUGUGUGUAUUGUGUGUGAGAGCAUACAUACUGUAUCUGUGUGUGUGUGUGUGUGUGUGCAUGCAUGCAUGUUUGUCUACAAGUGUGCAUGUGUGUGUGUGUGUGUGUGUGUAUGGGUGCACUUGCAUUUGACUGCCAGGGUAUGUGCGUGGGUGAGAGAUUUAAUAGAUGAGAUCUGUAAUCACCUUCUUACGAAGUGCAAGACCCCUCCCCCCUUCACUUUUCUGGAAACAGACAGAAAUCUUCUGGCCUCAUCCUGGGAUGCUGCAGUCAUCUGCUGUCUAAAAAGCAAAACAGACAAAAUUACCAACAGUGAAUACGUAUGAUAAAUGCAUGAGGACUGAACCAGCUCCCAUCUAAGUGCUGGACCAUGGUAAAGGAAGUGUUAUAAAAUUCCAUUUCUUUCCAUUCCAUGUUUUGGAAUUUUUGUUUCCCAUAAUGACAGGGUUCGAUAGGGGCUGAAGACUUACCUAUUUCAUUUGUUAUUGUGGAGUCGCAGUCUUUAAUUUUAAUUUUCCCUCUUAAUUAUGGCACUCUAUUCUUUGUGGCUUUUUUACUAUGCAUUCAUUCCUUGCUUUUAUUUGUUUCAUUCAUUUUUUUUAAAAAAAGAUCAGCUUUGUACAUUGGCAAAAAGACUGAAAUGAGUAGGUAUAAUUAUGAGGAUGAUGAUGAUGAUAAUAAUGAUAAUAAUAAUGUAUGCAAUACAUGCAGAGCCACUAUGAAGAAUACAUUGAAAUACAUUUAGUAAAACCUGCCGAUGAUGAUAAAAGCAAAGAACUUGUUCAGUGCUGGUAAUUCAGGAAUGCUGAAGGUCCUGAGAGAGUUUACAGUUGUUUUUCAGGGGAGACACAAGAACAGCAUUAAAAAGACAGAAUGAAAACUUGUAGAGAGACCUCAACAGAUCAUUGUAUUUAACCAAAAAAUAAAACCCCACAGUUUACG